UUUCUUUUUUUAUUUUAUUAUCUAUCUUAUUGCAAAUAUUUCGUGUGUUUAAUGUUUUGAUGAAGGAAAGUAUAGGAUGUUAGAGCGGUGUAGCGGAAUGGUUAACGCGUUCAACAAACCAAGAGGGGGUGAAUUGGUUUCUUAUCGCAAAUUGUUCUUUUAAUAAUUUUCUCACGUAAAAAUAAAUUCCUUAAAACAAUUUAAAUAAAUUAAAAGAGUAAGGAAGAGAGAAAAUUACACAUGUAAUUUUUAUACUGGUUCGGAUCAUAGAGAUCUACAUCCAAUGGUUAAUCUCAACCGAGAAAUAACGCUUCACUAGCAUAAACAACAAACUGAUACAAUCAC
rnacentral:lncRNA from 1 species